CCAGGACUAGCCAGUUCCUGGAGCUGGGGCUCCUGGGCCAGCGCACCCCCUCGCUGCUCACCCGGCCUUGUUUUUCCCUGGGCUUUGGCGAUGUGAGCUCGGGUCAUCGGGAGGAAGGGAGACGUGGCCAACCACCGGGAUGUCAGCAGGUGCCGUCCAGGUGGCGAGCGGGACAGGCGCGAGGCGUCGCGUGCAACCCUCGGGGCAGCUGAUUUCAGCUAUUUCCAGGGUCCAGAGCCUGCGUGUGGGAGACGGAUACCACAGCAGACAGACGCUUGCAUUCCCGGCCUCGCCUUCCCCUCGGUCCUCAGGUUUCAACCGCUGGGCUCCCUCCGCGUGGUGGGAAGAAAAGUUAAUUCUUAAAUGGCGGCUGGAACCAAGUUGAAGUGCGCUGACAGCCCUCACACCCGCUCUCGACAUCUCUCAUGAGGGCGAGGAUCUCACAAUGGCAGAUGCUGGUCAAUUAGGCAGAAAUACUUUCAUCUUGAAAAAGAGAGAGGAAAAAAGGAUUUAAAGACCCAAAGGUAUUUUUGGCUGACAUGAGUGUAAUUAAUUUCUUCACAAGACAAAAUGGACAGAAAAUGAAUGCCAUUAAGGGCCGAGUUUUUAUGCUGCCAAACCGACAAAUCAAUUCAGGGCAAGCAGCAGGCUGGCGUGUUGUUUUUUUCCCCGCAGUUUUUUUUUAUCUUUGUUAAAUAGAAUUAACAAUGAAAAGUCGAGCGAGUUGACGUAGAUUUUUUGAUUUCCAGUUAGCCGUGUACAAUGGGGUCAUGUGGAGGCCCUGGGUCGGCACUCCCGGGUGGAAGUCAUCGUGGAGGCGGAGUGGCGUCCACCCCUUUGGGUGUGGCUGGGAUCUCAAGUGCAUCGGCCCUCACGGGGCCUGCACCACACAUUUGCUGUCUGUGAGCCCUGAAGAGGGAACCGCCUUCAGUGCGAGUGCUAAGUGGGAGGUCUCACUCCUCUCCUCAUCUAAGUACCAGGCUAGGCUAAGUACCAGGCACAUGGUACGUGCUUAAGAAAUAAUAAUAGAACAGUCCAACGAAGUUCCUUGUAUUUUCCCAUUUGUAGCCAAGCUCUUGACCCUUAGGCAUUGGUACCUUGAUGAAAAUCUCAAUUUUUCUCAGUGUUAGGAGUUCCCUUUCAUCAAUAAGACAUCUCCCUAAAUGCAUUUAUAAACAUCUUCCAAAAAUGAAAUAGGCAUUUGUGUGUUUUUUUUUUAAAAAGGUUUGAGUAAUUACUCUGUGUUUCCAUAACCAGACUGACAAACACUUUACUAUAUAGAAUGCUAUUUCUGCAGCAGAAAGGACUCUUUAUCUAUAACAAUAAGAGCAUAAUAUGCUAAUUAGACCAGACGUCCUUCCGGAUGACCUUCCAGACGAAGCCGGGGCUGCGAGGGAAGCCCAGGUCUCAGGUGCCAGAGGGAAGCUGGUGCCAGCAGCCGGGGGAAGGCAGGCCUACUCUUGCACGAAUGUUGUGCAUCGGGCCUCUAGUUUCCUAUAAACAAACAUAGGAACUUCUUAAAAAUAAAGGUAAGCGUCUGUGCUCACCCAGAAACGACAUCAGGCUGCAGCUGGAGGUGGGAGGCUCCCCCAGGCACGGCGUUUCCAUGGCAACAGCAGAGGACUCUGGAUUUUGUAUGUGCUUUCUUCUCGCAGGCCAGCUCCUCUCUCAAGAGUGACUGCGAGGUCGUAGGGGCCUAAAGUGAUGGGUCAGUAGAAGUAACUACAGGUGAUUGCAGGGCUGUUUUUUGUUUUGUUUUUUUCCCAUCUUCCUCCAGCUGCUGGGAUAAUGUGCAGAUUUCCUUAAGGUAAUUUUAAAGAAUGAUGAUUUGGCAACCAUCAGGAAUCGUCAGAGUUUUCUCUCUGAUUCAGCACCUUCUCGUGCAAGCGAGUUUGCUCACUAUUCUUCUGACUAUCGAGCUGGAAUCGGCAGCAGGGGGGGGGCUUGCGUCUGCUUUGCGACUGUAGCAUGUGGAAUAAGGCACAACAAUUAAGCCAAUGAGAGCCAGUGAAGUUUUGCCAGUGAUGGGCUCCCGCCCACCCGUCCGCCCACCCGCCCGCCGCUGCUCUCCACGUUCACCACCCUGCCCACCUGCCCUCCUGGUGAGUGGUCGUUUGGUCGUUACGGUCGUCACGGGCACUGGCUUUUUAUAUAUAUAGAUGAGUCAGGUCAAAGCAAUCCAUAAAACAGUCUCACACACUCAUUUGCCUUUUUAAGUGGGAGAGGAAAGGAUGUGGUUAGGAUAUACCAGGAAUUGCACAUCAUCCAAAACCCAGCUUAUCUAUGUAUUGAGUAAUUGUUCCCAAGGUACUGUUAUUAGCCUUGCUCUAAUCCAUUACAAUAGAGAUUAGCUCCUCUGCCAAAGUGUUAAGCUUAGACAAAACCUUGGUACACCCAUGAGAGCGUGACAUUCACAUCCACCUUCACAGCAAAUAAAAUGUUAAAAAAAAACAACCACACCCGUCUCCUCUUCAUAGCGGCAGGGCGUGUGCCAGCUAUCACUUCUGAUUUUAUCCAUUCUGUUACUAGAUCCCUGAGGUUCCAUGCCAUAAAUUCCUCUAAGAACUUAUUGGGGAAAAUGUUCCUCUCCAUGUAAAAGUAUAUGGUGCCUUUUGAUCGUGAAAUGAACCACAGGGUUCAUCUUCUUGGCUUUUUUCACUCUGUCUGCCAGCACGCAAGCUCCGAGUUCCCAGUUUAAUAUCACCUUGCAGUUGAAUGUAGUGAAAUGAUCACGGAAUCGGGAGCCUAAAGAUUUCACUAGUAGACUGCCUUCUUUUAUUGGUAAGCUGCACGUGCCAUGAGCAUUGUACUUGACCUGUUUGAGCCUCAGUUUCCAAGUCUGACAAAUGGUCAUAAUAACCGGCGGCGGACGUUCCUGGUUGCUCACUUCGCAGUCCUCUCCGCCUCUUUCUCUGGAUAGCAGACGUCCUGUAUUUUUCGGGCUCCUACUGGCAAUGUGCUUAGGAGAGGCGGACCCAACUCUAGCGAAUGAGUCAUCGUCGGCCAAUGCCAAGCAUAACCAUCCCAUUCUCCUUUCCCCGUGAUUGCCUCA